UAGGGAAUCUUCCGCAAUGGGCGAAAGCCUGACGGAGCAACGCCGCGUGAGUGAUGAAGGUCUUCGGCUCGUAAAACUCUGUUAUUAGGGUAGAACAAAUGUGUAAGUAACUAUGCACGUCUUGACGGUACCUAAUCAGAAAGCCACGGCUAACUACGUGCCAGCAGCCGCGGUAAUACGUAGGUGGCAAGCGUUAUCCGGAAUUAUUGGGCGUAAAGCGCGCGUAGGCGGUUUUUUAAGUCUGAUGUGAAAGCCCACGGCUCAACCGUGGAGGGUCAUUGGAAACUGGAAAACUUGAGUGCAGAAGAGGAAAGUGGAAUUCCGUGUGUAGCGGUGAAAUGCGCAGAGAUAUGGAGGAACACCAGUGGCGAAGGCGACUUUCUGGUCUGUAACUGACGCUGAUGUGCGAAAGCGUGGGGAUCAAACAGG
rnacentral:rRNA from 1 species